AAUACUCCUUUGUCUAAUCCUUCACUUUCUCACUCUAUAUCCAUCUUUAUGCACUAAAUGUCUUCCACAUUUUAAGCUUGUUUUUAGAGUGAUUAAAGUGAGAUUUUUAUGAAGCAAUAGGUGAGGAAGUUGAUGAGUUGAUGAGAGCUUUUAAUUGAGACCAAACUUGCAAGGGGCUAGGAAUUUCAAAUUUGGGGGCUGUUUUGAAGAUCUUGCUUGGUUGAGAACACAGAAAGGAAGUGGCAAAAGACAUUCCCCCGUAGGUUUAGACAGGACUUAACGGACUUUUUUUUUUUUUUUGGUGUUAAUUUUCUUUUAUAUAUACAAGUUUUGAAAAACUUUAAACUUAUUUUGUAUCUCUUUCGUAAGCUUAUGUCUUGGGACUGUAGUCGGAUGUAAUGUUUCAUAUAAAUGAACUUUUGGUUUUUCGUCUAUGUGUGUGAUCAUGAUAUUACCAUUAUAGAUACAUGUGGUGACUGUUGUGGGACAGGGUUAGCCUUUAGUAUGGCUCACAAAUGAGUUUGGAAAUUGCAGGACUUUAGAAAUUUAGAAUUCGUAUUUCAGUUUUUCAGAUUUGGUAUAAUGUGUUCCCUUGUAGUUUAGAAUUGGGAAUGACUGUAGUGACAAUAGAUGACCUCGGGUUCGAGUAAGGACCCAGAUACGGUUCGGACCCCUGGGUUCGGGUCGUUACAAAAAUGGUAUCAGAGCAUUCUCUUAGAAUUUGGGGCGUGACAAAAGAAUCAAGAAGUAAAUCAAGGAGGAAAGAAAGGAAACCUAUAUAUAUAAGGAAAGAAGGGAAACAAAAGGAAUAAAUUAAGGAGGAAAGAAAGGAAAACAAAUAUAGUAUAUAUGUCUAAUAUAUAUAAUAUAUUAUACAUAUAUAUAAUAUAUAUUUUAAUAUUCUCCCGCAAACUCAAGAUGGGUUUCUCGAAGUCAACUUGAGUUUGGAGAUAAAAUCUUGAAAACAGUGGUGGAGCGAAAAGCAUCCGAAAGGCCAGAACGCCAUCAGGAAAAUGGCCGAAACAACGUCGAGGAAAUGGGUCGGAACAAAACUGAGAAAUGGGCCAGAGCAACACUGGGAAACAUCUGGGUGAUCCAUCUAAGAAAUGAAAAAUAUCCGGAACAAAGCCAGUAAAAGGCCAGAACUAAGCCAGGGAAUAGUCGGAACAAAGCUGAGAAAUGCCGGAACAACAUAGGGGAAAUGGCUAGAACAACGCCGAGGAAUAGUCGGAACAAAGCCGAUAAAUGCUGGAACAAUGCAGGGAAAUAGUCGGUCACCGCUUCGGAGCAUUGACUACUGUCGAUGAAGGAAGAGUGGGUGGGCGUAUGUAGCAUGAGUGAGAUCUACUUGCAGGAGCGUGCGUCGCGUGGGCACGUGAAGCACAAGUUAGAUCUACUUUGCAGGAGCGUCGGCGAGUGACGGUACUGGACAUCGCUUGGAAGCACGUGGUUGAUCAAAAAAAGGAAAACAAAGAGAGAUCUGAACCAAAAACGGAUCAGAUUUUACUGAUCUUCUCAUUCACUACUCUUUGCAAUCAGUAAAGGAAAGGAAAAAAAAAAAAAAAAAAAACAA